GAUGAACGCUGGCGGCGUGCCUAAUACAUGCAAGUCGAGCGAACAGACGAGGAGCUUGCUCCUCUGACGUUAGCGGCGGACGGGUGAGUAACACGUGGAUAACCUACCUAUAAGACUGGGAUAACUUCGGGAAACCGGAGCUAAUACCGGAUAAUAUAUUGAACCGCAUGGUUCAAUAGUGAAAGACGGUUUUGCUGUCACUUAUAGAUGGAUCCGCGCCGCAUUAGCUAGUUGGUAAGGUAACGGCUUACCAAGGCGACGCUGCGUAGCCGACCUGAGCAGGAGGGCGGACACAUGGGAACAGAGACACGGUCUAGACUCCUGACGGAGGAAGCAGAAGGGCAUCUUCCACAAUGGUCGACGGACUGAAAAACCAUCUUCUGGGGAAAUAUAAAGGUUUUCGGAACCUAAAACUCUGUUAUUGGUGAAUAACAAAAGUGCAAGGAACAAUUCACGUCUUGACGGCACCUAAUCAGAAAGCAGCGCCUAACUACGUG
rnacentral:rRNA from 1 species